AUGGCUACACUAAGUGACCUUGAGCGCAUGCUAUCUGAUGAAAGCGAAGGACCGAAAGCCCUGCCAUUAUCACUUCUAUUUUACAUCACAAAAGGUUUCUCUGGUGAUCUGAAAAUCGGAAGUGGUGGGUUCGCGGUGGUUUAUAAGGGAAUUCUCGGCAAUGGAUUGGUUGCCGUGAAGAGACUGAACAAUUCGUAUAUGAUUGACGAAGAAUUCCUCCAGGAGGUGAAAUGUCUGAUCAAGGUGAAGCACCAAAAUGUAGUAAGAUUUCUUGGAUACUGUGCUGACACACAAGGGGUUGCAGAGACAUACAACGGGAAUUUUGUCAUGGCAGAUGUACAACAAAGAUUGUUUUGCUUUGAGUAUGUACCUAAUGGUAAUCUUGGUGCUUAUAUCAGUGAGGCGUCUCAUGGACUUGAAUGGAGAAAGCGCUAUCAAAUUAUUAAGGGAAUCUGUGAGGGUUUAAAUUAUCUUCACCAGAAUAAUAUUGUUCAUUCAGAUCUCAAUCCCGCGAAUAUACUACUAGAUAAUAAUAUGGUGCCAAAAAUCGCUGACUUUGGAGUCUCGAGGUGCUUUCGUGAUAACCAAAGUGGCGAUAUUCUUACAAAAGUGGUUGGAACAAUGGGAUAUAUGGCACCAGAAUUUUUUAGCGGAAAAAUCAAGUUGAAAUCAGAUAUAUAUAGUCUUGGUGUUAUAAUCACGGAGAUAGUGACAGGAAAGAGGCAUAGUGAAGAUGAGGAUGUAAUUGAAAUUUGGAGGAAUAGGUUGGAGCAAGUAAAAGUGUGCGUUAAGCUUGGGACAGAGUGCACCGAGUUUAACCCAGGAAAGAGGCCACCUAUACAACUUAUAAUUGACAGGCUUGCUGAAACAAAAAGUAUGGACUGGUCCAUCAAAACUGCAGUGAGUUUGACGGUAGAGCAAGGAGAAAAUGCUUCCAAUGAGCUGUGUCAAAGUACAUUCAAGUUAUCUAGAGACGGGAGCUCUAAGUCUUAUAACGAUGGAGAACACGUCCUUCCUGCCAAGAGAAGCCUGACCUUCGGGCCUUGUUCAGGUUAG
rnacentral:rRNA from 1 species